UACGGAGGAUGCAAGCGUUAUCCGGAAUUAUUGGGCGUAAAGCGUCCGCAGGUGGUAGUUCAAGUCUGCUGUCAAAGACCGGGGCUUAACUUCGGAAAGGCAGUGGAAACUGAACAGCUAGAGUAUGGUAGGGGCAGAGGGAAUUCCUGGUGUAGCGGUGAAAUGCGCAGAUAUCAGGAAGAACACCCGUGGCUAAGGCGGUUCUCUAGUACGGUACUGACGCUGAGACGCGAAAGCGUGGGGAGCGAACAGG
rnacentral:rRNA from 1 species